rnacentral:rRNA from 1 species
GAAUGACUCUCGGCAACGGAUAUCUCGGCUCUUGCAUCGAUGAAGAACGUAGCGAAAUGUGAUACUUGGUGUGAAUUGCAGAAUCCCGUGAACCAUCAAGUCUUUGAACGCAAGUUGCGCCCGAAGCCAUUAGGCCGAGGGCACGCCUGCCUGGGUGUCACAC